CGUGCUAACACAUGCAAGUCGAACGAUGAAGCCCAGCUUGCUGGGUGGAUUAGUGGCGAACGGGUGANNAACACGUGAGUAACCUGCCCUUAAACUCUGGGAUAAGCCUGGGAAACUGGGUCUAAUACCGGAUAGGAGGCUCCACCGCAUGGUGGGUGUUGGAAAGAUUUAUCGGUUUUGGAUGGACUCGCGGCCUAUCAGCUUGUUGGUGAGGUAAUGGCUCACCAAGGCGACGACGGGUAGCCGGCCUGAGAGGGUGACCGGCCACACUGGGACUGAGACACGGCCCAGACUCCUACGGGAGGCAGCAGUNGGGAAUAUUGCACAAUGGGCGAAAGCCUGAUGCAGCGACGCCGCGUGAGGGAUGACGGCCUUCGGGUUGUAAACCUCUUUCAGUAGGGAAGAAGCGAAAGUGACGGUACCUGCAGAAGAAGCACCGGCUAACUACGUGCCAGCAGCCGCGGUAAUACGUAGGGUGCGAGCGU
rnacentral:rRNA from 1 species